rnacentral:rRNA from 1 species
AACCAAGAGAUUGAGUUGUAUUUAGCGGUAAAAAGACAGUUAAAUAGUAUUAAGGUAAGUUUAUUCAUCAUGCUAUUAGGAAGUAAAAUUCGAAUAUAGCUGAAUAUAUCUAAUAAAACAAAUGUAUUGAAGCUGUGAUAACUUUGAGGGAAACUAGGAUUAGAUACCCUAUUAUUCAUAGAAAUAAAUAAGAAAACUUUCUACCAGAGUACUAAGAAUAAAAAAUUUAAAACUCAAAGGGCUUGGCGGUGUUUUAGACUACUUAGGGGAACCUGUCUCGUAAUCGACAAUCCACGUUAAACCUAACCUUAUUUUGCAUUCAGUUUGUAUACCGUCGUCGCCAGGUAACUUUUAAAAUAUAAGGAGUUAGCUAAUAAAUAAUUAAAUUAAGACGUCAGAUCAAGGUGCAGCUAACAAAAAGGUGUAGAUGGGUUACAAUUAUAGUAUUAAUAAAACCGAUAAUAAACUUUAAAGGUGAUUAGUAAGGAGGACUUAAAAGUAAAGUAGAUUAUAUAGAUAUCUUGAAUAAAGCUCUGAAACGUGC